rnacentral:rRNA from 1 species
GUGGGGAAUCUUGCGCAAUGGGCGAAAGCCUGACGCAGCCAUGCCGCGUGGAUGAUGAAGGUCUUAGGAUUGUAAAAUCCUUUCACCGGUGAAGAUAAUGACUGUAGCCGGAGAAGAAGCCCCGGCUAACUUCGUGCCAGCAGCCGCGGUAAUACGAAGGGGGCUAGCGUUGCUCGGAUUUACUGGGCGUAAAGGGCGCGUAGGCGGACAUUUAAGUCAGGGGUGAAAUCCCGGGGCUCAACCUCGGAACUGCCGUUGAUACUGGGUGUCUUGAGUAUGAGAGAGGUGUGUGGAACUCCGGGUGUAGAGGUGAAAUUCGUAGAUAUUCGGAAGAACACCAGUGGCGAAGGCGACUCACUGGCCCAAUACUGACGCUGAGGCGCGAAAGCGUGGGGAGCAAACAGGAUUAGAAACCCUGGUAGUCC